UCAUGUCGAUUUGAACUUGAUGUGAGAACAAGAAGUGUCUGGAGUUGCACAUACACACACACACACACACACACACACACGCACUCACACACACGCACGCACACACAAACACGCACACACACGUAUGGUGAAAAAAAGGGGCGUUUAUUUCAACGACUACUGUAGCUUUAAGAGAAUUAUCGACCAUCAUCACACUCCAGCCAAGCAACGUAGUUCCCCACCACAGCAGCAGCGGAUUAAUAUCCAAAACGUUAACAGGUUAGUGUCUGCUCAGCAGGUGGAUGAACAUGUAAUGGAGUUGCAGCAUCAGUCGCUGACCAAGGAAUUACUGGGGAAGUUGGUGGUAGAGGGAGGCUAUUGACAUGUCACAGGAAGAUGCUCAAAAAUGUAGAGCACAUGGAGAAGAUCUCUAUGCUGGCUUUCCAUCCAGUUAAGAUGCACAGCUGCUAUGAGAAGGUGGUGAACCUGAGCCUUGAGGGUCUGCAUCAACAGUUUGACCAAAUGGACAAUGCUGUGUAGAUGUUUGAGCAGAUCCUUCAUCAGAGUCUCGAGUCUCAGGGUACAGAGGAGCUGUGUAAGAUCAUCCAGCACUGCCAGGACAGAGUCAUUAAGGUAAUACCCAAAGAAAACAGGCUUGUGCAUCAAAUUCUUGCAUAACAUCCACAUUAAUAUCUCAUAAUAUUACAUCUGGCAUACUCCAGCCCUGGGAGUGAAACUUUUGGUCUGGCCUUGUUUUAGUGUAAAAGAAAAUUCAGGGUUUUGUUUCACUUCAGAUGAGCACAAAUUAAGACGUCAGGAAACGUAAGUGACUGCCACUGCCUGUGUCACUCCUACACAAGGUGUAGCUAUUGUAAAACAAGAUGUGAGUCAGUAUAUGAAAUCAGUGUUUUUCUCUUUCUCGUUCUUAAAUAUGAUGUCAUCAUCCCAGUUUCUUGAAUGUCUAAUGAACUAAACAUCAUUUAGCGAGAUAACCACGUCCUGUGCCAAAUUAAUAAAAUGCACAUGGAAAGAGUGACACCACUAUUGUUCAUGAAAGAUUGCACCAAAACAACUCAAAAUGAAGUAAACUUAUUUCAAUUGUACCGGUUUUCUUAACAGUUGACCUUUCACAAUGGCAGCAUUGAGUGUUUUUUUUUGUUGUUUUUUUCUGGAGCCUUUAUUAUCAAACCUCUUACUGACCUAAAUGACGGUGGUCUAAUAAUGACCACAGUAGGCAUGAAUCAUUGUAAAAUUGAUUACAGUCAAAAUAAUAUAAGAUGUAGCUACUUGUUUGAAUGACAUACAGCAUAAUAUUUUCAUGGGGGUUAAUGCAAUUAUUUACCAAUCAGAGUGACAGCUGACCAAAUGGAAUCAUCAGCAGGAUUAAUCUCUUCUGGCUCUUACCCUGGUCUGGCAGAGCUUCAGAGAAUAAAUCUCCAUGGCAACCUAACUUUAUCAAUUUAUUAUUUUGAGCAAGAGUCCAGGAUACCGGGCAAUAUCCCAGCUUAAUCCCUUCUGUGCAUGGUCCUCUGAUAUUUUCAAGCCUCAACUUGCCAGUUCCAUGUUUAUUUUUAUUAUAUCAGAAAGUAUAAGUUUGUGGAUGAGCUAACUCAUGCUUUUGAAGCAUGAUGAUGGUCAACACAGCGGCCAUCUUCCAGAUAGAGAUUAGAUAGAAAAUAAAAACUCCAAACUCAAGGAAUAAACACUUGACUUUUGCGAGAACAGGUGAACGUCACAUAGUGUACCCUGAGACAUUAUUGCUCUGGACCAUAAUCAUGAAUUGGACUGAUAAGAGAUUACCGGCAUCUUGUGAAACGUGCCAGUACACAAAUAAAAGUGCCGGUUCUGUGUACUGGACAGUACCGGGCCACUUCUAGUUAAUAACUGUACUGUAGUGACAGUGAUGGUAUUUUAUGUACACUUAAUGUCUCUUAUGUGAUCUUAUUCUUCAACAAACAAGUGCACAAUAAAAUUCACUGGGAAUUCUAAAUAGCACAUUGCAAUUUCUUCAAUUAUUAUCAAAGUAUUGAUCAGUAAUACAGUGAAAAUGAGAGGAAAUGUUUAAGGUGUGCGCCCCUAAAUGU